rnacentral:rRNA from 1 species
GCUUAAUUUGACUCAACGCGGGAAAUCUUACCGGGUCCGGACACACUGAGGAUUGACAGAUAUAUACCCGUGAGUACUUCGGUGCUCGCGGGUUGAAAGAUGCUAGUUCUUUCAUGAUUAUGUGAUAGGUGGUGCAUGGCCGUUCUUAGUUCGUGGAGUGAUCUGUCUGCUUAAUUGCGUAUCAAUAAUAGAGACCUAGUAUACGCGUAGACUCAUGCGGUAGUGACCCCCCUUCACAGGGCGCGUGUCGCACGUAUGUUAUACGCACAGGUCUCCGAUAGCAACGAACGUGACCGUACUCUAUUGUUGCAGCGACAAUACCUUUCAACGGGUAUUACCGCUGCUUAGCAAGAUUCGUCUUGCAUUAAACUAUAGAGACCGCUGUUUCUUCUUUAAACCAGAGGAAGGAUACGGCAAU